rnacentral:misc_RNA from 1 species
UUUCCGCAGGUGAACCUGCGGAAGGAUCAUUAAAGAGUAAGGGUCUUCGGGCCCGAUCCCCAACCCUUUGUUUAACUACCAUGUUGCUUUGGCGGGCCCGUCUCACGACCGCCGGAAGUUUGGCUUCGACCAAACUUCUGGCCCGUGCCCGUCAGUGGCCCCUUCAAAUUCUUGAUCAAGUAUGAUGUCUUAGUUAAAAACUUAAUAGUUAAAACUUUCAACAACGGAUCUCUUGGUUCUG